UACGGAGGGGGCUAGCGUUGUUCGGAAUUACUGGGCGUAAAGCGCACGUAGGCGGCUUUGCAAGUCAGAGGUGAAAGCCCGGGGCUCAACCCCGGAAUUGCCUUUGAGACUGCAUCGCUAGAAUUGUGGAGAGGUAAGUGGAAUUCCGAGUGUAGAGGUGAAAUUCGUAGAUAUUCGGAAGAACACCAGUGGCGAAGGCGACUUACUGGACACAUAUUGACGCUGAGGGUGCGAAAGCGUGGGGGAGCAAACAGG
rnacentral:rRNA from 1 species